GAUGAACGCUGGCGGCGUGCUUAACACAUGCAAGUCGAACGGUGAAGGCGGAGCUUGCUCUGCUGGAUCAGUGGCGAACGGGUGAGUAACACGUGAGCAAUCUGCCCCUGACUCUGGGAUAAGCGCUGGAAACGGCGUCUAAUACUGGAUACGAGCUGCGAAGGCAUCUUCAGCAGCUGGAAAGAAUUUCGGUCAGGGAUGAGCUCGCGGCCUAUCAGCUUGUUGGUGAGGUAAUGGCUCACCAAGGCGUCGACGGGUAGCCGGCCUGAGAGGGUGACCGGCCACACGGGGACUGAGAAACGGCCCAGACUCCUACGGGAGGCAGCAGUGGGGAAUAUUGCACAAUGGGCGAAAGCCUGAUGCAGCAACGCCGCGUGGGGGACGACGGCCCUCGGGUUGUAAACCUCUUUUAGCAGGGAAGAAGCGAAAGUGACGGUACCUGCAGAAAAAGCGCCGGCUAACUACGUG
rnacentral:rRNA from 1 species